ensembl:lncRNA
ACCUGGCUCCUGGGGUUUUCCCCAAAGCAGAGCCGCCACCGUGAUGACUUGCCGGGAAGCCUUCAAGGAGUCACUACUCCCAGACAGGUGGUUUGGGACAAUGUUCCCAGCAGCUGCUGAGACCACUUUUGGGGGGAGAGUCUCCCUGUCUCUCCCCUGCGCAGCACUGGCGGCAGUGUAUGCUUCUCCUUGGUGGAAUGGAAUCAUGCCUCUGGACAAGCUGACAAGCCCCGUGACCCAUCUGCAGGCCAGCUUCCAGUCUGUUCCCGGUGUCGUUCGUCUUCGAACAAGCUCACGCUCUAUUUGUGGCAGGUGGCAGAAGCACAAGAAGCCCAGCUACAGGGAAGCACGGUUAAAGCCUCUGCUCACGUCAUCUUUGCUCACAUCCUAUUGGCCAGAGCAAGUCACAUGGCCAACAUCAACUGGACCAGGAUGUAAAUUUCUCCCACGGAAGUUGAGAGAAGCCAGGACAAGGGCCAGGAAGGAAGGACUUGACCUCACAAGACCCCAGAAUGGUGGUCCAGUGUGGAGGAUGUCUGAGAUCACUGCCCACCAGCCAGCAGAGUGGAGCAUUUGGUGACGGCUGAUGAGAAAUCAGAGCAAUCUGAGAGCCAUCUGUCUUACCGUCCCCACCAUCACCUCCUACCUCCCACCAAAGUCCUUUCGGGAAGUUGGAGCCGAGAAUUUAUACAGCAUGCUUCCUUCUAUCUGAUCAGGAGAGAGCCCAAGAUCUCACAACUGAAAUUUACUUCCAGAUCAUGAUGGAGUUAUUGGCUUUCUGUUGACAUAAAUUGCAUGGGUACCACAAUAGACCAAGCAUCAUUUUCUCUGUGGUGCCUGGUUUUUGUAAUAGCAGCUGGAUUUCUCAGUGUAAUUUUUCUUAAGGUCAAAUUUUCUCCUCCAAGUAGAGUCAGUGAUAUGAAACUUGUCAGAACAAAUCUAGAUAUAUCUUUAUGU